rnacentral:rRNA from 1 species
GGUUAAGCGACUAAGCGUACACGGUGGAUGCCCUGGCAGUCAGAGGCGAUGAAGGGCGUGCUAAUCUGCGAUAAGCGCCGGUAAGGUGAUAUGAACCGUUAUAACCGGCGAUACCCGAAUGGGGAAACCCAGUGUGAUUCGUCACACUAUCAUUAACUGAAUCCAUAGGUUAAUGAGGCGAACCGGGGGAACUGAAACAUCUAAGUACCCCGAGGAAAAGAAAUCAACCGAGAUUCCCCCAGUAGCGGCGAGCGAACGGGGAGGAGCCCAGAGCCUGAAUCAGCAUGUGUGUUAGUGGAAGCGUCUGGAAAGGCGCGCGAUACAGGGUGACAGCCCCGUACACAAAAGCGCAUGUGCUGUGAGCUCGAUGAGUAGGGCGGGACACGUGGUAUCCUGUCUGAAUAUGGGGGGACCAUCCUCCAAGGCUAAAUACUCCUGACUGACCGAUAGUGAACCAGUACCGUGAGGGAAAGGCGAAAAGAACCCCGGCGAGGGGAGUGAAAAAGAACCUGAAACCGUGUACGUACAAGCAGUGGGAGCACCCUUCGGGGUGUGACUGCGUACCUUUUGUAUAAUGGGUCAGCGACUUAUAUUCUGUAGCAAGGUUAACCGAAUAGGGGAGCCGGAGGGAAACCGAGUCUUAAUUGGGCGUUAAGUUGCAGGGUAUAGACCCGAAACCCGGUGAUCUAGCCAUGGGCAGGUUGAAGGUUGGGUAACACUAACUGGAGGACCGAACCGACUAAUGUUGAAAAAUUAGCGGAUGACCUGUGGCUGGGGGUGAAAGGCCAAUCAAACCGGGAGAUAGCUGGUUCUCCCCGAAAGCUAUUUAGGUAGCGCCUCGUGAAUUCAUCUCCGGGGGUAGAGCACUGUUUCGGCUAGGGGGUCAUCCCGACUUACCAACCCGAUGCAAACUGCGAAUACCGGAGAAUGUUAUCACGGGAGACACACGGCGGGUGCUAACGUCCGUCGUGAAGAGGGAAACAACCCAGACCGCCAGCUAAGGUCCCAAAGUCAUGGUUAAGUGGGAAACGAUGUGGGAAGGCCCAGACAGCCAGGAUGUUGGCUUAGAAGCAGCCAUCAUUUAAAGAAAGCGUAAUAGCUCACUGGUCGAGUCGGCCUGCGCGGAAGAUGUAACGGGGCUAAACCAUGCACCGAAGCUGCGGCAGCGAACGUAUCACCCAAGACAACUUUGCGGAGUUGACGAUUGACGGAGCGAAGCGACGUCAAAGCGUUCAUUAAAGUCGAGUUGGCUUAGGGAUACGUUCGUUGGGUAGGGGAGCGUUCUGUAAGCCUGUGAAGGUGUGCUGUGAGGCAUGCUGGAGGUAUCAGAAGUGCGAAUGCUGACAUAAGUAACGAUAAAGCGGGUGAAAAGCCCGCUCGCCGGAAGACCAAGGGUUCCUGUCCAACGUUAAUCGGGGCAGGGUGAGUCGACCCCUAAGGCGAGGCCGAAAGGCGUAGUCGAUGGGAAACGGGUUAAUAUUCCCGUACUUGGUGUUACUGCGAAGGGGGGACGGAGAAGGCUAUGUUGGCCGGGCGACGGUUGUCCCGGUUUAAGCGUGUAGGCUGGUUUUCCAGGCAAAUCCGGAAAAUCAAGGCUGAGGCGUGACGACGAGGCACUACGGUGCUGAAGCAACAAAUGCCCUGCUUCCAGGAAAAGCCUCUAAGCAUCAGGUAACAUCAAAUCGUACCCCAAACCGACACAGGUGGUCAGGUAGAGAAUACCAAGGCGCUUGAGAGAACUCGGGUGAAGGAACUAGGCAAAAUGGUGCCGUAACUUCGGGAGAAGGCACGCUGACAUGUAGGUGAAGUGAUUUACUCAUGGAGCUGAAGUCAGUCGAAGAUACCAGCUGGCUGCAACUGUUUAUUAAAAACACAGCACUGUGCAAACACGAAAGUGGACGUAUACGGUGUGACGCCUGCCCGGUGCCGGAAGGUUAAUUGAUGGGGUCAGCGCAAGCGAAGCUCCUGAUCGAAGCCCCGGUAAACGGCGGCCGUAACUAUAACGGUCCUAAGGUAGCGAAAUUCCUUGUCGGGUAAGUUCCGACCUGCACGAAUGGCGUAAUGAUGGCCAGGCUGUCUCCACCCGAGACUCAGUGAAAUUGAACUCGCUGUGAAGAUGCAGUGUACCCGCGGCAAGACGGAAAGACCCCGUGAACCUUUACUAUAGCUUGACACUGAACAUUGAGCCUUGAUGUGUAGGAUAGGUGGGAGGCUUUGAAGCGUGGACGCCAGUCUGCGUGGAGCCGACCUUGAAAUACCACCCUUUAAUGUUUGAUGUUCUAACGUGGACCCGUUACCCGGGUUGCGGACAGUGUCUGGUGGGUAGUUUGACUGGGGCGGUCUCCUCCUAAAGAGUAACGGAGGAGCACGAAGGUUGGCUAAUCCUGGUCGGACAUCAGGAGGUUAGUGCAAUGGCAUAAGCCAGCUUGACUGCGAGCGUGACGGCGCGAGCAGGUGCGAAAGCAGGUCAUAGUGAUCCGGUGGUUCUGAAUGGAAGGGCCAUCGCUCAACGGAUAAAAGGUACUCCGGGGAUAACAGGCUGAUACCGCCCAAGAGUUCAUAUCGACGGCGGUGUUUGGCACCUCGAUGUCGGCUCAUCACAUCCUGGGGCUGAAGUAGGUCCCAAGGGUAUGGCUGUUCGCCAUUUAAAGUGGUACGCGAGCUGGGUUUAGAACGUCGUGAGACAGUUCGGUCCCUAUCUGCCGUGGGCGCUGGAGAACUGAGGGGGGCUGCUCCUAGUACGAGAGGACCGGAGUGGACGCAUCACUGGUGUUCGGGUUGUCAUGCCAAUGGCACUGCCCGGUAGCUAAAUGCGGAAGAGAUAAGUGCUGAAAGCAUCUAAGCACGAAACUUGCCCCGAGAUGAGUUCUCCCUGAGACUUUAGGUCUCCUGAAGGAACGUUGAAGACGACGACGUUGAUAGGCCGGGUGUGUAAGCGCAGCGAUGCGUUGAGCUAACCGGUACUAAUGAACCGUGAGGCUUAACCUU